rnacentral:rRNA from 1 species
UUAAGAUACUAAGAGCAUACGGUGGAUGCCUUGGCGAUAUCUGCCGACGAAGGACGUGACAAGCUGCGAAAAGCUGCGGAGAGAUGCAAAUAAUCGGCGACCCGCAGACAUCCGAAUGGAGCAAUCCGGCUGUGAUGAUGCACAGCCAUCCAUGCCCAAGAGCAUGAGAAGGGAACCGGGCGAACUGAAACAUCUAAGUAACCCGAGGAAAAGAAAUCAAACGAGAUACCCCAAGUAGCGGCGAGCGAACAGGGAAGAAGCCCAAACCGGUGAAGGAAACUUUACCGGGGUUGAGGACCAUCAGACCCGCGAAGAACUUUAGCCGAAACUGUUGGGAAACAGUGCCGAAGACAGUGAAAGCCUGGUAGGCGAAAAAGAGAAACGCGGAGAUGGCACCAGAGUACCGCGGGACACGAGAAAUCCCGUGGGAAGCAGGGGGGACCACCCUCCAAGGCAAAACACAGAUAUCGACCGAUAGCGCAUAGUACCAUGAGGGAAAGGUGAAAAGCACCCCGGGAGGGGAAUGAAAGAGAACCUGAAACCGUAUGUUUACAAGCAGUCGGAGACCGCUUAAUAAUAAGGUCGACGGCGUGCCUAUUGAAGAAUGAACCGGCGAGUUACGAAGCCUGGCAAGGUUAAGCAGGAAAUGCGGAGCCGAAGCGAAAGCGAGUCUUAAGAGGGCGCAAGUCAGGAAGCGUAGACCCGAAACCACAGUGAUCUACCCAUGUCCAGGUUGAAACACAGGUAAAAAUGUGUGGAGGACCGAACCUAUAUCCGUUGAAAAGGGUUAGGAUGAGGUGUGGGUAGGGGUGAAAUUCCAAUCGAACGUGGAGAUAGCUGGUUCUCCCCGAAAUAGCUUUAGGGCUAGCCUCAGGCGAAUCACCAUAGAGACGGUAGAGCACUGAUCGGGCAAGGGGGCGUAAAGCCUACCGACCCCAGUCAAACUACGAAUGGCUCAUAUGGGCAGCCUGGGAGUCAGAAUGCGAGUGAUAAGACCCGUAUUCAAGAGGGAAACAGCCCAGACCGCCGGCUAAGGUCCCAAAUGCUGUGCUAAGUGGAAAAGGAUGUAGGACUUCGAAAACAACCAGGAUGUUGGCUCAGAAGCAGCCACCAUUAAAAGAGUGCGUAAUAGCUCACUGGUCGAGAGGCCCUGCGCCGAAAAUAUCCGGGGCUAAAGCACAGAACCGAAGCCGCGGCAGGGUGUACUAAGGUACACACUGGGUAGGGGAGCGUUCUUAUCUGGACGAAGGCAGACCGGAAGGACUGCUGGACGGGUAAGAAGUGAGAAUGCCGGUAUGAGUAGCGAAACGACAGGUGAGAAUCCUGUCCACCGAAAGCCUAAGGGAUCCUGGGCAACGCUCGUCGCCCCAGGGUAAGUCGGGACCUAAGCCGAGGCGAAAAGCAUAGGCGAUGGACAACUGGCGAAAAUUCCAGUACCGGGCGUCUUCGUUUAAGGAUGGAGUGACGCAGGAAGGAAGCUGAGCGCGCGAAUGGUUGGGCGCGUCGAAGGCGGUAGGCUUGUAUGGAGGCAAAUCCCCAUACUAUAAGGCCGAGAACCGAUAGAUAGGAAAGACUACGGUCAAUCUGAAUUCAGCUGCACUACACUGCCAAGAAAAGCUUCUAACGAGAAGACGUCCGCCCGUACCAAAACCGACACAGGUAGGCGGGGAGAGAAUCCUAAGGUGCGCGGGAAAACCCUCGUUAAGGAACUCGGCAAAAUGCAUCCGUAACUUCGGGAAAAGGAUGGCCGUAGCUGGUGAAGCUUUUUACAAGUGGAGCUGGAGACGGCGGCAGAAAAGAGGCCCAAGCGACUGUUUACCACAAACACAGGUGCCUGCGAAAGCGCAAGCUGAAGUAUAGGUGCUGACGCCUGCCCGGUGCAGGAAGGUUAAGGAGAGUUGUUAGUCCUUGAGAUGAAGCAGCGAACUGAAGCCCCUGUAAACGGCGGCCGUAACUAUAACGGUCCUAAGGUAGCGAAAUUCCUUGUCGGGU